CACGGCUCUGACUGACAGGUGCUCUGAACCCUCGUCGAGACCAAGCCACGCCCACCCCGCAAAAUUCAAGCGCUUCUCCACACAGCGGCAGACACUUUGUCCUGUUCUUUGCGUCGCAAUGUUUCUCACUGUGGGAUUAAUAAAGAAUUAUGUUAUCUUAACUACUAUAGUUUGCCAUGUCAUACUUCACAGCAAACAUCAAGGCUCAUCAGACCAGACUGGAGUGUCAGCGUUCCGUUUUUGGCUGCCAGAAUUCGAACCCGAAAUGGUCUUCUGAAGUUCAAUUACCUCAGGACAGGCUGUGCUGUGCAUUCUGAGGUCCAGUUUCCAAUGCUGCGCUUCUACAGAAGAUUAACAGGCUUUACUACAUAAUGACCAUCCAGGAUGGACUGUCUGUUUCGGCUUCAAAGCUACUAAUGCAAUCUGAGGAAAGCGCCAGAUCCCAGGCACCAAGAUGAGAGGAAAGGCCAGAGAUAAAAAGCCUACUCAUUUGUGAGAUCUUUGAUUUUCUACAAUUCGGCCCAGGGGGAUCAGAUGCGGUGUAUCAGCAGGAUUCACCAGGGAAAGAAGAAGUGGCAAUGGCAGAUCAGACAAGAGGAGUCCAAAGCCAGGUUGCUAACCACAGUGCUGAGGCCUCAGGAUGGCCCUCGAUGACACUUAUUGUCCUGAGUGUGCCACAGACCUACAGAAAACAACUGCAGUACACCAACCAACUCCAGCAACCAGGCCAGAGAACAGAGAGGAACUGUGAGAGGAGGUGAGGAAGAAGUGGACCAACUUCUUCAAACCCCUUCAAGCAUGCAGGGGACAAGUGAGGCAGGAAGCUGUAGAUCACAAUCUAAGCUGGACAUCUUCAGGGAAAACAGUACAGAGACCCAGCAAAGUCAACUCCAGUGCGAUCACCAGGUUAUAUUCCACUCCAGGCCACUCCCUUCCGUUCUACUGGAUGCACUGGAGCAGAGUGUCAGAAAGCCACCAAAGAACUGGCUUAGGAGGCAGAAAAGGGCAGUUAUUUGCUGUGACUAAGGCCAGCAGGGGGUGACUGCUUUAUAUACUUUAUAUGCUUUAUAGACUUUAUAUAAUAAGUCACAAAUACACAUUUGUUAAAUUAAUGUCUCAGCUAAUUAUUGGCAUUGACACUAGUUUCGACCUUGGUAAAUUUAAAUUCUUAAGAAUGUUGUAAAUAAUGAUAAAUUGAUCUGUUAGGUUUUAUUCUUUUUUUAUGAUACAUGGUGUCUUAACUGGUGUGAAUUAAUAAUUAGUUGAGACAUUUAGCACUGUUAAAUAAUAUACCCUUGUUGUGAAAUGUUAUUGCCUGUUCCAGGAAGGACGGUCACUAUCUUCAUUCCUAAGUGUAAGUUCACCUUUUUACUAUACAGCAGAAAAACUUUUUAAAAACACUUAUCUGUGAGGAAAUUAAAAAAUGUGUCAAUAAUGAAACACAGAAAACAAACUCCUAGGAUUAAAAAAGUACAAAUAGACUAUCUAAAAAAUGUAAAACUUUGUAACACUUUAACAGAAGCAGAAAAAAAAUGUGUUAAAGGGAUAGUUCGGUAUUUUUGACAUGAGUCUGUAUGGCAUCAUCAUAA